GCUUUCAUAGCUCAAUUGUUAAGAGCACCCGUUUAGUAAACGGGAGGUCCUGAGUUCAACUCUCAGUGAAAGCA
rnacentral:tRNA from 1 species